ACUCCUACGGGAGGCAGCAGUGGGGAAUAUUGGACAAUGGGCGCAAGCCUGAUCCAGCCAUGCCGCGUGAGUGAUGAAGGCCCUAGGGUUGUAAAGCUCUUUCACCGGUGAAGAUAAUGACGGUAACCGGAGAAGAAGCCCCGGCUAACUUCGUGCCAGCAGCCGCGGUAAUACGAAGGGGGCUAGCGUUGUUCGGAUUUACUGGGCGUAAAGCGCACGUAGGCGGACUAUUAAGUCAGGGGUGAAAUCCCGGGGCUCAACCCCGGAACUGCCUUUGAUACUGGUAGUCUUGAGUUCGAGAGAGGUGAGUGGAAUUCCGAGUGUAGAGGUGAAAUUCGUAGAUAUUCGGAGGAACACCAGUGGCGAAGGCGGCUCACUGGCUCGAUACUGACGCUGAGGUGCGAAAGCGUGGGGAGCAAACAGGAUUAGAUACCCGAGUAGUCCCA
rnacentral:rRNA from 1 species